rnacentral:rRNA from 1 species
UACGGGGGGGGCAAGCGUUGUUCGGAAUUACUGGGCGUAAAGGGCUCGUAGGCGGCCAACUAAGUCAUACGUGAAAUCCCUCGGCUUAACCGGGGAACUGCGUCUGAUACUGGAUGGCUCGAGAUUGGGAGAGGGAUGCGGAAUUCCAGGUGUAGCGGUGAAAUGCGUAGAUAUCUGGAGGAACACCGGUGGCGAAGGCGGCAUCCUGGACCAACACUGACGCUGAGGAGCGAAAGCCAGGGGAGCAAACGGG